UGCACGUCUAAGCAGUAAGGCUGAGUAUUAGGCAAAUCCGGUACUCGUUAAGGCUGAGCUGUGAUGGGGAGAAGACAUUGUGUCUUCGAGUCGUUUAAGGUCCGUGUUCGAAAGGGAAACAGCCCAGACCACCAGCUAAGGUCCCAAAAUAUAUGUUAAGUGGAAAAGGAUGUGGCGUUGCCCAGACAACUAGGAUGUUGGCUUAGAAGCAGCCAUCAUUUAAAGAGUGCGUAAUAGCUCACUAGUCGAGUGACACUGCGCCGAAAAUGUACCGGGGCUAAACAUAUUACCGAAGCUGUGGAUUGUCCUUUGGACAAUGGUAGGAGAGCGUUCUAAGGGCGUUGAAGCAUGAUCGUAAGGACAUGUGGAGCGCUUAGAAGUGAGAAUGCCGGUGUGAGUAGCGAAAGACGGGUGAGAAUCCCGUCCACCGAUUGACUAAGGUUUCCAGAGGAAGGCUCGUCCGCUCUGGGUUAGUCGGGUCCUAAGCUGAGGCCGACAGGCGUAGGCGAUGGAUAACAGGUUGAUAUUCCUGUACCACCUAUAAUCGUUUUAAUCGAUGGGGGGACGCAGUAGGAUAGGCGAAGCGUGCGAUUGGAUUGCACGUCUAAGCAGUAAGGCUGAGUAUUAGGCAAAUCCGGUACUCGUUAAGGCUGAGCUGUGAUGGGGAGAAGACAUUGUGUCUUCGAGUCGUUGAUUUCACACUGCCGAGAAAAGCCUCUAGAUAGAAAAUAGGUGCCCGUACCGCAAACCGACACAGGUAGUCAAGAUGAGAAUUCUAAGGUGAGCGAGCGAACUCUCGUUAAGGAACUCGGCAAAAUGACCCCGUAACUUCGGGAGAAGGGGUGCUCUUUAGGGUUAACGCCCAGAAGAGCCGCAGUGAAUAGGCCCAAGCGACUGUUUAUCAAAAACACAGGUCUCUGCUAAACCGUAAGGUGAUGUAUAGGGGCUGACGCCUGCCCGGUGCUGGAAGGUUAAGAGGAGUGGUUAGCUUCUGCGAAGCUACGAAUCGAAGCCCCAGUAAACGGCGGCCGUAACUAUAACGGUCCUAAGGUAGCGAAAUUCCUUGUCGGGUAAGUUCCGACCCGCACGAAAGGCGUAACGAUUUGGGCACUGUCUCAACGAGAGACUCGGUGAAAUCAUAGUACCUGUGAAGAUGCAGGUUACCCGCGACAGGACGGAAAGACCCCGUGGAGCUUUACUGUAGCCUGAUAUUGAAAUUCGGCACAGCUUGUACAGGAUAGGUAGGAGCCUUUGAAACGUGAGCGCUAGCUUACGUGGAGGCGCUGGUGGGAUACUACCCUAGCUGUGUUGGCUUUCUAACCCGCACCACUUAUCGUGGUGGGAGACAGUGUCAGGCGGGCAGUUUGACUGGGGCGGUCGCCUCCUAAAAGGUAACGGAGGCGCUCAAAGGUUCCCUCAGAAUGGUUGGAAAUCAUUCAUAGAGUGUAAAGGCAUAAGGGAGCUUGACUGCGAGACCUACAAGUCGAGCAGGGUCGAAAGACGGACUUAGUGAUCCGGUGGUUCCGCAUGGAAGGGCCAUCGCUCAACGGAUAAAAGCUACCCCGGGGAUAACAGGCUUAUCUCCCCCAAGAGUUCACAUCGACGGGGAGGUUUGGCACCUCGAUGUCGGCUCAUCGCAUCCUGGGGCUGUAGUCGGUCCCAAGGGUUGGGCUGUUCGCCCAUUAAAGCGGUACGCGAGCUGGGUUCAGAACGUCGUGAGACAGUUCGGUCCCUAUCCGUCGUGGGCGUAGGAAAUUUGAGAGGAGCUGUCCUUAGUACGAGAGGACCGGGAUGGACAUACCUCUGGUGUACCAGUUGUCGUGCCAACGGCAUAGCUGGGUAGCUAUGUGUGGACGGGAUAAGUGCUGAAAGCAUCUAAGCAUGAAGCCCCCCUCAAGAUGAGAUUUCCCAACUUCGGUUAUAAGAUCCCUCAAAGAUGAUGAGGUUAAUAGGUUCGAGGUGGAAGCAUGGUGACAUGUGGAGCUGACGAAUACUAAUCGAUCGAAGACUUAAUCAA
rnacentral:rRNA from 1 species